CAAUUUUACGAUUUUUCAAGCUGGAGGUAAAGCACAGUCUCAUCGAUGGUGGGUGCUUGGGAUGGAUAAUCAAGGGAAGGCUCUUAGAAAGGGUUUAAUUUAUUCUGUCCGAUAGUCAAGGCUAUAAGCCAUUUCAACAAAUCAAAGCCAUCAUUUGAGAAAUAAUAAAGAUUAAAAGCCAGCCUCGGACACCCCAAACUCGGGUCCUUCCUGCCGUUUAACCUGCUCCGGUUUUAUCGUAAAUAAGGCGCACUUAGCAUUGAUGAGCCUUUAUUUCUGUCUCACUGGGUGUGCAGUGCUUUUUGAUGGUCUGGAUGUAAAGGACUCAGUUUCUUGUCUAAAACAACUGAGAGCCCGCCUUUGAUUCAUGAAGAUGCAGGUAAUGCGUGAAGCGCGUGAGGACAGACGCGGGGUGCACUGGGCCGAGCGGGGCUGGGGGCCCGCAGUCCGCCGCGGGGGGGAGGCGGGGUCCGCCGCGGGGGGGAGGCGGGGGUCCUGAAGGCUCCAAGCCCAGCUUUGGUUCAGGACGUGAAGACACCGUUCCCUCCCUUUCGGAAACCGCAUUUUCUGGGGCUUCUCUCUCCCUCGUGUGCUCCUCUGUAGGAGAAACAGGAGGCUUUUCUGCCCCCAAUGCCCGGGGAGGACCCUUCCCCAGUCCCCAUGCCUGAGUCGUCACGUCCCUCCGCUUGGAGUAUUGACUUGUGGCAGUGACAUUGCCACCUCGGGUGAUGUGUCUUUCAAGUGGGAAGCCUUUCCUGGUCAAUACUGCAUCCCCGCGCUCUGGCAGGCUAAUUGAAUGCCUCCCUCGGACAAAUGGGUCCCUGGGGAAAGGGCAAAGCCCUGAUAUGCAUAUCUGAGUGGAAGCCCCAGAGGCUGUUUUAAAAACAGAUCUGUUCCUCUGGAGGCGUCGCCUCUGUAACGAAAGCGGUGCUAGUUAUUUGCUCAGCAAAAUGGACAUUCACCAGUCUGUUUAUAUCCUUCUUUUUGUUGGACUACUAUUUGGCUUUAACUUGAUCCCUUUAUAGCAAGAGAGAAGGAGAGACAGACAGAAACAGAGAGGGGAGAGAGAGAGACCGAAGCUCUAGAAUGACCCCUAGGAUGAGAAAUGUCUUGCCUUAAAAUUUGGGGUACAUAGAUCUCUUUAAAAAAAUGUACUCCCUUUCCAUCCAGCAAGUUACACUGAUGUUUAAAUUAUUUGAUAUCUUUGGAACUCAUAAAAUCUUGUCUUUCCCUGAGAGGGCGGUGUUUUUUUUCUCAGGGUUCCAUGGGGGGGUUGUGAAGAGAAAGGGGCAGGAAACCCUCUGAGCCCUGUGCCAGCUUCUCUCUGAUAACUCUCUUGGUGCUUUCUCCAGCCGUGAGAAGACUCGUGCCUGAUCUGCAGGGAAGGAAACUCAGGGAGCUCAGUGACCUGAGCCGGGUCCUGCAGUUACUUGCCGGUGUGGACGCACCUCCGGUGUCUCCAAGGCCAGUGCUUCUAGUCUCAUAGGGUUGGAUUUUGAAUCACUUUUUAAACUGGUAUCGUGGGGACAGUUCCUCAUAUUU
rnacentral:lncRNA from 1 species